CCUACGGGAGGCAGCAGUGGGGAAUUUUUCGCAAUGGGCGAAAGCCUGACGACGCAACGCCGCGUGGAGGACGAAGAUCUUCGGGUUGUAAACUCCUGUCGAGCGGGAAGAACGACGUGCCGGUUAAUACCCGGUGCGUGUGACGGUACCGCUAGAGGAAGCCCCGGCUAACUCCGUGCCAGCAGCCGCGGU
rnacentral:rRNA from 1 species